UCCGAAGGGUGCAAGCGUUACUCGGAAUUACUGGGCGUAAAGCGUGCGUAGGCGGUUUGUUAAGUCUGUCGUGAAAGCCCCGGGCUCAACCUGGGAAUGGCGAUGGAAACUGGCGAGCUAGAGUACGGUAGAGGAGAGUGGAAUUCCCGGUGUAGCAGUGAAAUGCGUAGAGAUCGGGAGGAACAUCAGUUGCGAAGGCGGCUCUCUGGACCAGUACGGACGCUGAGGCACGAAAGCGUGGGGAGCAAACAGG
rnacentral:rRNA from 1 species